rnacentral:rRNA from 1 species
UGCAGUCGAGCGGUAACAUUUCUAGCUUGCUAGAAGAUGACGAGCGGCGGACGGGUGAGUAAUACUUAGGAAUCUACCUAGUAGUGGGGGAUAGCUCGGGGAAACUCGAAUUAAUACCGCAUACGACCUACGGGAGAAAGGGGGCAACUUGUUGCUCUCGCUAUUAGAUGAGCCUAAGUCGGAUUAGCUAGAUGGUGGGGUAAAGGCCUACCAUGGCGACGAUCUGUAGCUGGUCUGAGAGGAUGAUCAGCCACACCGGGACUGAGACACGGCCCGGACUCCUACGGGAGGCAGCAGUGGGGAAUAUUGGACAAUGGGGGAAACCCUGAUCCAGCCAUGCCGCGUGUGUGAAGAAGGCCUUUUGGUUGUAAAGCACUUUAAGCAGUGAAGAAGACUCUUCGGUUAAUACCCGGAGACGAUGACAUUAGCUGCAGAAUAAGCACCGGCUAACUCUGUGCCAGCAGCCGCGGUAAUACAGAGGGUGCAAGCGUUAAUCGGAAUUACUGGGCGUAAAGCGAGCGUAGGUGGCUUGAUAAGUCAGAUGUGAAAUCCCCGGGCUUAACCUGGGAACUGCAUCUGAUACUGUCAGGCUAGAGUAGGUGAGAGGAAGGUAGAAUUCCAGGUGUAGCGGUGAAAUGCGUAGAGAUCUGGAGGAAUACCGAUGGCGAAGGCAGCCUUCUGGCAUCAUACUGACACUGAGGCUCGAAAGCGUGGGUAGCAAACAGGAUUAGAUACCCUGGUAGUCCACGCCGUAAACGAUGUCUACUAGUCGUUGGGUCCCUUGAGGACUUAGUGACGCAGCUAACGCAAUAAGUAGACCGCCUGGGGAGUACGGCCGCAAGGUUAAAACUCAAAUGAAUUGACGGGGGCCCGCACAAGCGGUGGAGCAUGUGGUUUAAUUCGAUGCAACGCGAAGAACCUUACCU